rnacentral:rRNA from 1 species
ACGUAGGGACCAAGCGUUGUUCGGAUUUACUGGGCGUAAAGGGCGCGUAGGCGGCGCGGUAAGUCAGUUGUGAAAUCUCUGGGCUUAACCCAGAAAGGUCAACCGAUACUGCGGGGCUAGAGUGCAGAAGGGGCAACUGGAAUUCUCGGUGUAGCGGUGAAAUGCGUAGAUAUCGAGAGGAACACCUGCGGCGAAGGCGGGUUGCUGGGCUGACACUGACGCUGAGGCGCGAAAGCUAGGGGAGCGAACAGGA